GCGCCCGCACCACCCAUCGCCCCAGCACCCCGCCGCCCCACCACCCCACCACACUCGAGCUCGCCGUUUCUCGCCGACCGGAGCCCAGCCGCCCCGCCCCUCCUUCCCGCCCUCCUGGAUCCAGCCGCAAUGGCGCCGUGCCGUCGGUGGCAGAUGUGGUCGGGGCCCUGGUGCGGAGAAUGACACGGAUGCGCCGUCCCACGUUGGUGGCCGGUGCGGAUCAGGGAAGCGAGCGGAGCUCCUGCAGCAUUGCAGCCAUCGUCCUCUGUGUCACCGGCCGAGCAUGCACACUACUGAGCAUGGCGACGACGGCGUGCGCGAAGUACGCGGCUGAUAGCUCGCACGCGGUUUGACCUCUUGGACUUUCAUGCGGCCGUCGCGGGUUCCGGCAUCGGCAGCGUGCGGGAGAAGCCGGGUGCGGUGGCUCCCAACACAGGAGCGCAGGUGAAACACAGGAGCGCGGGUGAAGAUGUUCUAACCUAUCGUGAGCACCUGCCCUUCAUCUGUGUCUUUCUGCAGAAAUGGCACUUUACUUCUAGGUUUCUUUCCGGGAGCAAUUAGUGGAGUACUAUGCAAACAAUAAAAGUUACAAAGAUGGUGAAGAGAACAUGUUAACCAGCUUUGCUGACCUGUUCUCUCAGGAUCGACUUCCUUCUCAAUAGUGAAAUUGCUUCUGUUGUUCAAGUGAGAGAAACAUGCAGGUUUCUUAAUGAUCCACUAAAUUAUUUUUGGUAAAAGUUUGCUUCACAUCAAUUGUGUAAUAUGAAGAGAAAUCAUGGUGCUUUUCCUUUCGUCGUGUACAAAAUUGUUUCCCGUUCAUUACUUAAUUUGUAGAUGAAUAAUAGGGUACUUAUUAUUUGCGUGCAUGGAUUUCAUUCAAAUAGAAUUUUCAAAGACAAAUUAAAUGCCAUACCUUACUAAACUCAGAUUAGCGCAUCCAGCAGAGAAAAGUUGUGUACUUAUUCCUAACAGUACCAAAUAAUUUAAAUUCUGAAUGGUUUUCGUCAGCAACUAUUGUGAGUUGUCUUUGCAAUUCCACAUAGUAAUCUUAUAUUUACUAAUUGGAGGCACCAUCCGAGAUACCACGUUAAUCCUAGAAACUAAUCAAAAUUAUCCGUUGGAUAUCCCCAUUGGUUUUCUACAACCGUGGGAUUGUAUCUGGCAAGAAGUCCAUGCACUUUAUACCACCUCCCACGUCAAAUCCUCAUCUAUAGGCUGCAAAAGUGGAAAAGAAAAAAGAAAGGUAUGUACAACCAUAAGAUGAAGAUGCUCAGGAUUCCUUGCAAAAUAUUUAGUCUGGCUGCGGCUGGCACUGAUGCCCUCUUGCCAAAAACAGUAGUAACAAUAGCACACACCUCAGGUAAUUUGUCCUCCUCAACCGAUGUUCAAUUGUGUCUCUGAAGCUUUUUAUGGGUACAAAUCAGGAACAGUACAUACUACGUGAAGGUGGUGCAGAGUUUUGUUAAGGUGGUGCAGAGUUGGAGACCUUAUGGCUCUAUAAACAUUUUGUGUAGCGAUCAUGUGCUAGACUAAUAAUUUUUAAGGUGAUAACAUUGUGCAUCAGAUAUUUUUCAUUCUCAUUAUGAUACUUGAUGUGUGGUUGAUUGUUGGGCUAAAUGUUUUAAUGACCUGAAUUGGUUACAAGUGCACCACAUUUUGCUUUUAAUAUCUUAAUCAUAUUUCAAACCGAUAUCUUACAGUUGGCCACUUAUACCUCUGCACAUAUGCAUGCAUCGUAGUGUAUAGUGUUAUCAUCCAACCUGAGGGAAAAUGAAAAAAUGUUGUAAUAAUACGAGUAUGCAUACAUAUGUAUAAUUAACAACCUGAGGGAAAUUUAUACUCAACAAGGUUCGAAUUUAGUUCUCGAUCUUCUGUAUGUAUCUUAGUAAAUUGGUCGCUACUUGCAGGAAAAUGUGUCGAACGAAAAAGUUAAUAAUGCAUCAGUACAACUUACAUCAUCAGUGGAUUUACAGUUCAAACUUCUGUGAGGGGCUGUGCUGCUGUCUGCCCAUGUCCCGAAGUGCAUUUGCUAGGAGAUAUUUAUCCUUUCUAUUUUACUUGAUCCAGUAUGCAUCCAUCCUGAUAGAUGAUAGGUUAGUCAACAAUUUGCUUUUAGCUUCUUCGGACUUUAAUAUUUUUUCGUGUCCCAAGAACUGCUGCAAGGCAUAUAUAAGGCGCAAGAGGUGAAAGAGGCAUAUACUAGACUUUAAUAAAGUUUUAGGCUUAAUUAUUUUGAUGGUCACAACUCACAACUGACAGAGUUGCAAGACUGUAUGUAUGUUAAUUAUUUUGGAUGGAAAAACACAUAGUCUGAUUGUGAUUGUGAUCUUGACUUUGUACAUCUUCUCAAUGUUUCCACUUUGAUAAUAUAGAAUUAGUAUGCAUGAAGAAUUAGUUAACUAUUUUUUAGAAUGGCAAGACUUUAAGAAAGUUGUCUGUUGUUUGUAAAUAUCGGAAUAUUAUUUGUUCCCACAAUUGUAUUGUUUCCAAAACAUUACUGACAGUGAAAUAAAUUUAAAUUCAUAUACUAUGAGGCAACAAAAUAGUAUCAUCAUGUUGAAUAAAUUUAAAUACUAUUUUUGUGUAUGGAUAAAUGGUUUUUUUGUUUUAACAAUAAACUUUCAACAACCUAAAAAAUAUACACUCAUGAUUAGUCAUUUUUAAUAUAGUUAAUAUUAUAAAAAAUAUUCUACUAAUAAAGUAUAAUCUGUACAACUAGCCCGUGCAGACUACACGGGUUGACUGCUAGUUAGUUAUAAUGUCAUACCUUGCACCAUUUUCAGAAAUCAACAGUUUACCCUUCCUGAUGCUUUAUCCCUUGGAAGAAAUCUUUAUGGUGCUUCCGUGCUCUCCUAAAAGCCAGUUUAAACAGACUUAAAGAGUAGUGUUAUCAACGGAUAGUAAGAGAGCACCCUCAUCUUGCUUUCAACCACUUGCUUCUGGGCUUCACUUAUAUUUUUAUGUACUGAACAAUCUCCGCAAAGUUCACAUUCUCCUACUGAAUUAAUAGUGCCAAGUCAUAAGUCUGCAGCUAAAUUUGAGGGAGAAGAAAUUAUCAAAAGACAACAUAGGAUAAAUGUUACAUAUUCGUAGAUUAUUAAUAUUAUUAGAAAUGCACUGCCUGCAUACUAUUUGGUGUCACCAAAAAUCCUUCGACUAUAGUGUUCAUCAUCUAAUGUAUAUUCUUGUUGUUUUCCUCAUGGCCCUGUUUUAAAUGUUUUGUACAUGAUGUCCCGGAAAAAACUGGAGUAUAUACCCAGGCCAAGUAUCACUUUCUUUAGAAAUAAGGCUAGGAUACCUGAUGUUAAAAUAGAGACCGUGCCAAUGAGUAAUUCAUCAAUGUUUUGUAGCUAGCAUUCCUAUUGUUCUAGAGAAGCUACUUAUGCUUCUUAGAGUAAGGGGCCAUGCCAUUUGGUUAACACUAUCCUAACAGUAUGCUGGGACACAUUCAUUCUAUGAUUCAUGGUAGAAAUAUUUGUUGGCUAUAUUCCAUUGAAUAGGUUAUGAUCUAAUCUGUGAAGCAAUUAAUUUCUGCAUUUUCUGUUGUUCAUUCGCGCUGUUAGAUUAUCCAGGAUCACAUUUAACUUGGUAGUACUUAAAUUGCUGCAACUUCACUUUUUUGUCUGUUUAGUGAAUAACGUGUGUACAUUUGUUCUUUCCUAUACGAUAUCAGAUCUGCCAUAUGCAUGAAGUGGAUGCACCGGGACCUCAAACCAGAGAAUUUCUUGUUUGCAAACUGGAAAGAAACGGCUGCACUGAAAGCAAUUGAUUUUGGCCUGUUUGUUUUGUUUUUCACUCCAAGUAGAGUCAAUCCUAAUAUCCUAUAUGGCUAUCGUUGAAGCUUUCCAUUUUGACCCGUCUGUCACUUGUCUAUGAUAUGGUCAGAGGACAAAGCUAAGCUGAUACAGUAGCCUGUCUUAUGCUAUAUUUAGUUUUUGUUUUGACCUUGUGAAACUUGCUACCUAUGGAUGAAACUGUGUAAUAUUGAUGACUAUUGGUAAUAUGUGUUGAAUAUGCUAUAUUGGUCAUAUAAAUAUAUU